rnacentral:pre_miRNA from 1 species
UCUUCAUUUCACGUACUCUCUCGGUCAGAGAAGCGAGAGAGUGUGUGAAAUGAAGAGA